ACAACUGCCAUAAUGGCCAUAGCAGAAGCCUUCACAUCACGGCCCCUGUCAGAGUCCAAUGAUUCUACUCAAUUCUGCU
rnacentral:ribozyme from 1 species